ACAACAACAAUAAAAACCACACAUCCAUAGAAUAAAAACAACACGUAACGACUCCAGCACAAUAACGACAACAAGGCGGAGGCGCAGCUAACCGAUUCUUUUGGAGACUUGCUUUUGGGGACUCCCCAACAACCGGAUCGAGAACAAUAAAACUGUCACCAGGCAGCGCCGAACAGGUUGGAUCCUUUGAUCAAAGCAGCACCAGCAUCCAAAGCAAUCCGUUUGCUAUUGACUCCCGAUCGGGAGGCAUCCAAGGCCAGCAAGAGCCCACGAUGCACCGGACAACAAGAACAACAAGGCCGGACAAUAACAACAACAAAUAAGCAACAAUUCUUCUGGGGGAGCUGCGGCUCCCCCUGUCAAUUCCC
rnacentral:sRNA from 1 species